GCAGAUAAUGUACAAGUUACCCACGACUUCUCUUUUACUUUGCUAGAGGGAAGAAAAGAACCAGGCUUUAUUCUGCAGAAUAAAACAACACAGAUGCUGGUGAAUGCACUGUCAGCCCAUGCCUGCCAGCUGGGACCAACAAUAGGAGAGGAGGCACUGGCUGCAUCGCUAACAGAUUUCCAAGAACGCUAUGGGCAGCGAAAAAAGCCAUUUGGGCUUGUUUCUUUUUCCUCUGUUGCCUUUCUGAGAGAUAAAGAGGCUGAUGGAUCAUGAAUGGAGACAUGAAUUUGAUAACAUUUGGAAAGAGGUUAAUGGAAACCAACGUACAAACUACAGAACAGGAGAACACGGCAGAUUUCUAAAUGCCAAUAGCAUUUAGAAGCUGCUCUUAAAGAAAAUUUGAAGGUGAGCAGGCGGUGGGCAGAGGAUCUGAAGCAGCUGCAAGGGCCUCACAUGAGUUUGGAAAUGUCUUCCUAAUGUGAUGGAUCCUGGCAUCAUUCCACGCAGACGCCAGAUCAGUGUGGAAAUGGAUGUGGACGCGGUGCUGCUGCCUGAGAUUAGCAGGAAGCAAUUCUUUUCCCAUUUGGAGAGACCCCAGUGAGACCUGAUCAACUAGCAACAUGCGGAAGUCACACCAUUAAGUCUUCCAAUUUGCUAGCAGCAAAUCAAUGAACUCUGAUAGCUGCUGCCCUAAGCUAGCAUCCAGGGAACUGUGGACAAGCUAUUUGCUACCUGAAUUUUAGUGAAGGAAAGUUAAAUUUUUUCUUAAAGCAGGGCGGGAGUGGGGUUGUGUGGGGAAGAUUAUAUUAAGCAGUGAGAGAAGACAGAUGGAGUUUUGUAGAAAGAGAGCUGGUUGUUUUAAAUUGUAUCUUAAAUUUAUUGUAGAGCUAUUGGUAAUUAGUGUUUUGUUGUUGUGUGUUUAUACCAACCAAUUAAUAAGAAAGGCUUUUAUUUUUAUUUCAUCAGUUGGAGCUGAACUUUAUUUUUUAUUAUAAAUAUAAGGCAUUAUUCUAGGGCCUGGCAAACAUAGGGCCUGGCAAACAUAGGCAGCCAUUUUUUUUUUCUGGGGAAGAUGAUACCUUGGUAUGUUUUCACCACUGUGAGAUGAAAAUUUGAGAACAGUGAGAGACAGAUGCUUGCCUGAGGAGUUUUAUUUUCCCUUUAAUCCUUAUCAAAUAUCCAGAUAUUACCUAUAUUGCCUUGAUCUGCUGUCUGAGGGUGGGUUUCUUUGAUUGUUUGAAGAGUUCUGGGCACUAGAGGUGCUUACUUUGUGACGGGAGCAAAUAACAAGGUGUUGCCCAUGACAUGGUCAAGCCUCUUCUUCAAUUAGCCACCUAUCUCGGGCAUGUUUUCAUAGAGAUAUAUCUCAUCCCUUUUAAUAACUGCAGAAUCUUGGACAUUUAGAGGUCUCCAAAUAUUGGUUGUCAUUUAUGGUGUAUCGUGUUUUUGUUAUUAUGAUAACGUUGCAAUAAAUACCCUAGCAACCUAUUUUUGCUUACAAGUAGAGUAUUUUCGAAGAAUAAAUUCCUUCAUGUGAAAACUGACGGGUCAAAAUAUAAAAGGAUUAAAGUUUCAGUAGUUAGUUAAUUGCCUUACAAUGGAAUUACAACAAUUUAUACUUCCACCAGUAAUUCAUGAACUCUGCCUUAUUACAUAAUAUUUCUAAUCUUUCCCAAUCUGAUAUGGAGAAACAUGUUUUAUUAUUCUAUUUUUUUUUCACUAAAAGGGAGACUUUGAACACCCCUCCAUAUGUUUCAAAAACACUUGUAGACCAGGUGUGGUGGCUCACUCCUGUAAUUCCAGCACUUUGGGAAGUGAGAAGAUUGCUUGAGCCCAGGAGUUCGAGACCAACUUAGGCAACCAAUCUAGACAAGGGAGACCUUGUCUCUACGAAAAAAAUGAAAACAUUAACUGGGCAUGGUGGUGUGUGCUGUGGUACUAGCUGCUCAGGAGGCUGAAGAUGGGAGGACUGCUUGAGCCUGGGAAGUUGAGGCUGCAGUGAGCUGUGUGAUGGCACCACUGCACUCCAGCCUGGGCAACAGAGUGAGACCCUGUCUCAAAACAAAACAAAACAAUACAAAACAAAACUUUUUUUUUUCAGUGAAUGUUUCUUUAUAGAUUUCAAUUUCUAAAAAUUGUUGGCACUUUUUUUGAUUGACUGAAGAGCUCAUUAUAUAUUAAGCAAUUUAGACUUUUUUUUUUUUUUUUUUGAGACAGAGUCUCGCUCCGUCGCCCAGGCUGGAGUGCAUUGGUGCGAUCUGGGCUCACUGCAACCUCUGUCUCCCAGGUUCAAGCAAUUCUCCCCCCUCAGCCUCCUGAGUACCUGGGAUUGCAGGCACCUACCAUCAUGCCCGGCUAAUUUUUGUAUUUUUGUAGAGAUAGGGUUUUACCAUGUUGUUCAGGCUGGUCUUGAACUCCUGAUCUCAGAUGAUCUACCCGCCACGGCUUCCCAAAGUGCUGGGAUUACAGGUGUGAGCUGCCGCGCUUGGCCCAAUUUAGACUUUUUAAACCAACUUUUGAAGGUUGGUUUUAAAAAAAUAAAUGACUGGAUCAUGUUCUAACUACUCAUAGUCUCAGCCAAACACAAUUGCGGAAGGCCUAGCCAAAGGCUCUUUGCUCAGUGAAAGUCCCAUGAAUCUCAGGCACAGAGGAUAGUCUGGAAAGACCUAACCUGCACAUGCAAAUCUAUUAAGAAAGAUGAAGUCUUAGGCUUAUAUGGAGCUAAAUAAUUGCAUGUUUAAUGCAAUGCCAGGGUACAGGUAAUGGUGUUUGGAGUUGGAGGGGUGAUGUGUGUGGUGGGUGAGGAAGUCAGGGCUGAGUCCUAGGUGAGAUCUAUAAGAGUGAUGUUUAUUUAUGCAUCUGAGGGCUGGAACUCUCAUGAUAGGAUUUAUUUUCAUUCUCUUUCAAGGAGAGCCAUGCUGCCUUGCUGCUUCUUGCUCGUGUACACAGAGCACUUGGUGUCUUGCGAAUCCCCUUUGACGCCGGUGCCUUUCCAGGCCAGUGCUUUGCUUGUGUUCAGAGGAUGCAUGCUCAGGCCCUACCAGACUAUCUUAGGGAUGAGAGGCAAAUUUUGUUUCCAAUGCUCUGUGUGGGCCCUCCAUGGCAUUUUCUUUCAUUUUGGGUUCCAUCCUGGCCUAAAGCUUCCCAUUAAAGCUAAUGGCCAUUGGAGUUAACCCAAAUUUUCUCCUUUGGUAUUUAUAAAAAGCAACACUGAAAAACCUUGAAAUUAACUAACAAUAAAAAAACCAUUGAUCGGUUCUUUCCUGGAGAUGGUUCUUUCUUCUCAAAUAGGCCACUUUGCAGACUGGAAAUCACCCCAAUCCUCAAAUAGCCUAAUAUUUUUCACAUGUGAUUCCAGCAAAUUGCUGUUUGCAUUAACACCUUGGUGGGGACUCACUUAAGAGCUAGAUUUGUUAGUGUAUUUACUGACAUUUUCACAUGAUGUUUUCAGCUUUCUGAAUAAUUGUAAUAUUCACCAGAAAAAAAUCAAAGUAAUGAAAGGUGCCUACAAUUAUUCAUAUCUCAACAUUGUAAGCCUUAAUUUCCUGCCUGAAGUGUGGUAAAUUACUCAUUUUUAAAGUCAUCUCUAGCCACUGAGAGUUUAUGGUGAUGUAUAUAGAUGUUUUGUAGAUUCCCAAAAAAAUCAAUGACUAUGAAUAUCACAGACUGUCAAAACAGCUGGUGUGAUUAUAAAAUAAUGAGAUCAACUAAAGACAUCAGCUCUCAGACAUCCAAAUUGUAAGAGGAAAAUGAAGACGAGGAAGGGGAAAGUGAAUUGCUUAAUGUCUUGUGGGUACCAAAUAAUAGAGUCAGUAUCUGCCACUGCCAUGCUGAAGAUUUUGCACUGUUACUUACACAGAUUCAUUCCCCUUUUUGCAGGCUUUUUCGGGCCAGGAGAUGGUUUUGCAGCAGCAGAAGACUAUGAACUGGGCUUUGGGAGAUAGGAUCUCUGGUUGUAUUCUGGCUAUCCACACUCUGAAAGAGGACCGUGACAGAGAAUUUGAGUAUCCUACCAAUAUACCUACAAAAGGAUGAAAGAAGAUUUGGAGUCAAGGGAAAACAAGGGCAAUAAAAUAGAUGCUUACCACCUGCUCUCAUACAGUUGCUAGAAGAGGACUGCAUAUUUGGUUCUAAGUUUUUGGAAGAUAAAGCAAAAAUAGAAACACAACUCAUUAUAAAAUUUUGGUGUAUCCAUAAAAUAAAAACAAAUGACCUGUUUGAGAAAACUCUUUCUGAGUUUGAGCUCUAAAAGGAACUUCUCUAUGGAAUCCUUAGAAUAUGAGAAGGCUGUGAUAUAGGGGAGAAACCCCUUGACAUUCCUAUAUUGGGUUUAGGUCUAAUUUCACUCAGUAGUUUUUAAAUGUUACUCCUUGUAGACAGAUGAUGAGACGCCAAAGUACAGCUGAGUGAAAGCGGUUCCUUUGAAAACUAAAGGCUGUAAAAACAAGGCUAUGGAUCAUGUUGUUUCAGUUCUUUAUAGAUUUUUUAAACUGAAUUUUGCAUCUGUGUACAUGAAGAAUAAAUUGUAGAAUAUCUAAGGAAA